rnacentral:rRNA from 1 species
UACGUAGGGUGCGAGCGUUGUCCGGAAUUAUUGGGCGUAAAGAGCUCGUAGGCGGUUUGUCGCGUCUGCCGUGAAAGUCCGGGGCUCAACUCCGGAUCUGCGGUGGGUACGGGCAGACUAGAGUGAUGUAGGGGAGACUGGAAUUCCUGGUGUAGCGGUGAAAUGCGCAGAUAUCAGGAGGAACACCGGUGGCGAAGGCGGGUCUCUGGGCAGUAACUGACGCUGAGGAGCGAAAGCGUGGGGAGCGAACAGG